AUGCCAAAAACACCAGACGUGUUUCUUCUCCUCGGUCUCUGUCUGUUUGGGGCAGCUGACGCCCUGUACAAGCAGUGGAUACCUGACACUAACUAUGAAAACAAGACCAACUGGGACAAAGGGUCCGUGCCCUGCGGUAACGACAUAGUGCAGUUCUCGGCUCAGAGGAAAGUGUCUGUGUACGUGGAGACGGUCCACUCCGUCCAGGAGAUGCGGCUACCGGUGGACGGAGAGUUCAUCCUUCCCUCGGGGGGCGGCUUCACGGUCAGUAAUGGAGGGGACCCCGGUUGCGGGGCGGGUGUCACCGCCCAGUUCAAAGAUGCAGAGUCUCUGCAGUGGUUCGACCCGGAGCUAUGGCAGGCGGCAGAGUCUUUAGACGACCUGGAGAAAGGUCGCUUCCUGUUCUCGGUACACGAGGAGAGCGUACCCUGCCAGUAUGACAACGUGUUGUUCCGCGCUGGCUCCUCGUUCCGCGUGGACACCACCUCCAACCAGCCCAGCGUCCCUGUCCAGAGUGUGUCCAUUCUGGGGAAGAAGUUCAGCAGCAGCUCCGAGUUCACCCAUUAUCUGGGGUCACACUCUGGCCGGCUGCAGUUCUACGGAACCUCAUCCCCCAGCGUCGGGGCUUCUGGCUGCAGUGAUGCCUCUGGCUGCGACUGUGGGAACUCUGCGAAUCACAACAGGAUCUGCGGCACUGUGACAUGCACUCCUAUGAGCUGUAAGAAGCCACUAUACCCCACGGGACAUUGCUGUGACGUGUGCGGCGCCAUCGUCACCAUCCAGUAUUCCUCAGGCUUCAACUUUGAGUCUUAUCGGAAUCGACUGCAGCACCUCUUCCUUAGUCUGCCCUCGUACCAGUCCAUUCAGCUAGGCAUGUCUAAGGUGCUCAAAUCUCAGUAUUUCCUCGGGGUGAUCCCACGUGCGGCUGCAGCAAAGAUCCAGAUCGUGCUCCUGGACGGGUAGUCUGGUCCGGUGGCAGAGGCCCUGGCUCGGGACAUAUUGAAGGACGUCCAAGCCCAAGGCUCAAACCUGGGCAUAACCGGGGCUGAGUUCCAGGCCUCUUCUGGGGCCACCAGUGGUGACGGGGCAGGGGACAACGCAGGAGUUGUGGUUGGAGCCGUGUUCGGGAUCCUGAUAGUAGUCGUUGGUCUUCCCCUCCUGGCUGUCCUCUUCCGCAGAGGCGUCAUAAAAAUGCCCACCAUGCCCACCAUCUCCAUCCCUUCUCUGAGCAGCUUAAGGAGAAGCCAGGAGGAGAUAGGGGACUUCACGGACCAUGGCUUUGAAAACCCCAUCUUCGACAAGCCCACCAUGAUGCCCGAAGUACCCGGUAUCUAUGGGACUGAAGCCGCCAACUCUAUCUCCCUGACGCCGUCAGGUGUGCAAUUUGUUAAUCCCGCGUAUGAUGAAAACGAGACCUCAAUCGAUUUCACUACCUGAGACUUUGUGUCAUGGUAUCUGUAAAUAUUUUGUGCACAUUCUUCUGAGAAUAAUUUCUUACGCGUUGUAAUGUAUCUGAAAUGUAAAAAUAUAUUUCAUGCUUAAAUUCAUAUUAAGUAUUAGGUAUUUGAAAAAGUCAAGCAAUUGAUAUUUGUAAAUCAAUUCUGAAAAGAUUUUACAAAAGCUUUGUCACAUUGUUAAUAUGAUUUACAUUGGAUUGACCAUUGACACAACAAUGAAAGACAGCCCUUGAACUCAUCUUUGUAGUUAAGUACUCAGCACAAUGUCAAAUAAACAUAGUAUAUUUUUGCCAAUGAAAGACCAAUCACAGCAGUUAGCAAGUCAGUCACUUGCUAACCUGUUGCAAUAAAACGAGCAGUUAAAGUUA